rnacentral:rRNA from 1 species
CACCGCCCGUCACAUCACGAAAGUGGAUUGUACUAGAAGUCCGCGCGCCAACCCGCAAGGGAGGUAGCGGCCCAAGGUAUGAUUCAUGAUUAGGGUG